ACUCCUAUGCAUUAGACUAAGAGCUACUUAAAGGGGGUACAGCCCCUUUAACCAAGGACAACAACCUUAACCAGCGGAUAAACCAAACUCACCUCAACACCCGUGGGCCUUAAAGCAGCCACCCCAAAAGAAUGCGUCAAAGCUCCAAACCAAAAAAUCCAAAAACAAAGUGACUCCCUAUACUCUAGCAAGCCAACCUAUACCUAUAGAUGAAUUAAUGCUAAAACGAGUAACCAGGAUGCCAUAUCCCCUUAAGCGCCAGCCUAACCCCCAUUAACAGCAAAGCCACAAUACUAGCCCCCCCCCUCACCCGACCAAAUAUUGAAUGCACCCUGUUGACCCAACCCUGGAGCGCACAUCUAGGACGACCCAAAUCCGCAAAAGGAACUCGGCAAACCCAAGACCCGACUGUUUACCAAAAACAUAGCCUUCAGCCAAACAAGUAUUGAAGGUGAUGCCUGCCCAGUGACACCAUGUUUAACGGCCGCGGUAUCCUAACCGUGCAAAGGUAGCGCAAUCAAUUGUCUCAUAAAUCGAGACCUGUAUGAACGGCUAAACGAGGUCUUAACUGUCUCCUGCGGAUAAUCAGUGAAACUGAUCUCCCUGUACAAAAGCAGGGAUAAGCACAUAAGACGAGAAGACCCUGUGGAACUUCAAAAUCAAUAGCCACCUCAUCACCCAACUCAAACCUACCUGGCCCAUCACCCAAAGUUCAUGGCUAAUAUUUUUAGGUUGGGGCGACCCUGGAGAAAAACAAACCCUCCAGAAACUAAGGCUAUAACCCUUAACCAAGAGCUACCCCUCAACGUGCUAAAAGCACACAGACCCAAUAAAAUUGACCAAUGGACCAAGCUACCCCAGGGAUAACAGCGCAAUUCCCCCCAAGAGCCCCUAUCGACGGAGGAGUUUACGACCUCGAUGUUGGAUCA
rnacentral:rRNA from 1 species